rnacentral:lncRNA from 1 species
UUCAUAUUAUCAGUAAGUAUAACAUAAGAUUUUGUGGUAUCCACUAGUGUAAUUUUUUAAAUUGAAGAUCGAAUUCAUUCAUUGUAUUCAUAUAGGGUCAAGGAGUGUAGCUGUAAAAAAUCAUCAAAAUCGGAAUUAAAAUAACCAUUAAAUCAUGAUUUUUCGUUUUAUAACCGUCGAAACGUUUUGUUCGGUUACUUAAUCUCUGAAUGUUUGUUUUUUGCAAUUUUUGGCGUAUACAAUCUCGAAGUAUAUACAAAUAUGUUUGACGUUUGGAUCGUUGAAACUAGUUUCGUAGAAUGCGUAUCCCAUCAAAACAAUAGAUUCACUAACACUUAAGAGUGUAUUCAUACUUUCAUUAAGUAUAACAUAAGAUUUUGUGGUACCUACUAGUGUAAAUAUUUUAAAUUGAAGAUCGAAUUCAUUCAUUGUAUUCAUAUAGGGUCAAGGAGUGUAGCUUUAAAAAAUCAUCAAAAUCGGAGUUAUAAUAACCGUUAAAUCGUGAUUUUUCGUUUUAUAACCGUCGAAAAGUUUUGUUCGGUUACUUGAUCUCUGAAUGUUUUUUUUUUUUUUGCGAUUCUUUAAUGAUGCGAUCUCGAAGCAUAUACAAGCAAGUUUGACGGUUGGAUCGUUGAAAUUAGUUUCGAAUAAUUCGUAUCACAUCAAGUUCAAUGGUAUAUAUAUAUAUAUAUUAAGUAGAUUUAAAUCUAUUUAUUUUGUACGUAUAAUUAUUAUAGUU